rnacentral:tRNA from 2 species
GCGAGGAUGGCCCAGCCCGGUAAGGCGAUGGAUUGCUAAUCCAUUGUCCGUAAGGACUCGGGGGUUCAAAUCCCCCUCCUCGCG